rnacentral:rRNA from 1 species
UGGGGAAUCUUCCGCAAUGGACGAAAGUCUGACGGAGCAACGCCGCGUGAGUGAAGAAGGUUUUCGGAUCGUAAAACUCUGUCUUUUGGGGCGAACGUGAGUAUGGUGAACAAUCAUAGUCAGUGACGGUACCAAAGGAGGAAGCCACGGCUAACUACGUGCCAGCAGCCGCGGUAAUACGUAGGUGGCAAGCGUUGUCCGGAAUUAUUGGGCGUAAAGAGCGCGUAGGCGGGAUAGUCAGUCUGUUGUAAAGUGCGGGGCUCAACCCCGUGAUCGCAAUGGAAACAGCUAUUCUUGAGUGCAGGAGAGGAAAGUGGAAUUCCCAGUGUAGCGGUGAAAUGCGUAGAUAUUGGGAGGAACACCAGUGGCGAAGGCGACUUUCUGGACUGUGUCUGACGCUGAGGCGCGAAAGCCAGGGGAGCGAACGGGAUUAGAUACCCCGGUAGUCCUGGCCGUAAACGAUGGGUACUAGGUGUGGGAGGUAUCGACCCCUUCCGUGCCGGAGUUAACGCAAUAAGUACCCCGCCUGGGGAGUACGGUCGCAAGACUGAAACUUAAAUGAAUUGACGGGGUCAUAGCUGUUUCCUG